rnacentral:rRNA from 1 species
ACGAACGCUGGCGGCGUGCCUAACACAUGCAAGUCGAGCGAGAAAGGGACUUCGGUCCCUGGAGAGCGGCAGACGGGUGAGUAACACGUGGGUAACCUGUCCCUAGGUGGGGGAUAACCACUCGAAAGGGUGGCUAAUACCGCAUAAGACCACGGCCUUUUGGGGCUGAGGUCAAAGGCGCAAGUCGCCAAGGGAGGGGCCCGCGGCCGAUUAGCUAGUUGGUAGGGUAACGGCCUACCAAGGCAGUGAUCGGUAGCUGGUCUGAGAGGAUGAUCAGCCACACUGGUACUGAGACACGGACCAGACUCCUACGGGAGGCAGCAGUGGGGAAUAUUGCGCAAUGGGCGAAAGCCUGACGCAGCAACGCCGCGUGGGUGAUGAAGGCCUUCGGGUCGUAAAGCCCUGUCAGAUGGGACGAAGAAAGUGACGGUACCAUCGAAGGAAGCACCGGCUAACUCCGU